GUGAUGUCAAGGUGGAGAAUGUUCCAUCGGACCUUAGAAACAAACUCUGGGGAGCUAGUUUAGAAUCUUUGAGGUUGGAGUCUUUCAGUUCAAUUUCUUCAGUUCAUCAUUUCAUUUUGGGGGGAGGCAGAAGAAAUCAUUCAGACUUUAUGCUACUGGCCUAUUUCCUUGCCUAGAUACUCCCUGGGCUGACCCAUGAAAAAGAGGGAGGAGUUUCAAGAGGUCCAUUUGAGGAGGAAGAAUUUUCCAAGUGUGAGGGACAGUCUGGGCAGAAACAUAGAGGCAGAAGAUAAGGGUUUUACAAAAGAGAAAGACUUUCAUACAUGUCUCCUACCUCCUAAUCGUCAUCCUCAGUUGCCGAGAGACUACUACUACUACUACUACUACUACCUCCUAACAAAAAAAUUAAUCAAUGAACUCAAGAUGGAGAGAGGCAUAUAUUUUUGGAUAUAUCAAAGAAAAUCCUGGGGAGACCUGUAGGAAAUGAUGCAAAGUGAAGUGUCCAGAACCAGGAGAACAUUCUCAACAAUAAUAAUAUUGUAAAGAUAAUCAACUUUGAAAGACUUAAUAAUUCUAAUCAACCACUGCAACGACCCAGUGCAAUUCCGAAAGACUCAAAAUGGAACAUAUUAUCCACCUCUAGAAAGAAAGCCAAUUGGACUCAAAGUACAGAUUGAAACAGGUUUUUUUUCUUUCUUUUUCUUUUUCCUGUUCUUUUUUUUAAUGGCUAAUACAGAAAUCUGUUUUGCAUGACCAUACAUAUUUGCAAUGGGUCUACACAACUAGUAAUAAGUAAAUGCUAAUAAUAGCUAAGGGCAGCUAGUUGGUACAGUGGAUAGAGUGUCAAACCUAAAAUCAUGAAGACUCUUCUUCCUAAGUUCAAAUAUGCCCUCAGACACUCAUUAAUUGUGUAGCCCUGGGCAAGUCACUUAACCCUGUUUCUCUCAGUUCCUCAUCUGUAAAAUUAGCUGGAGAAGAAAAUGGCAAACCACUCCAGGAUCUUUGCAAAGAAUUCCCUUGUCCCAAAAAAAAGGAGUCAUGAAGAGUCAGAUACAACUGAAAAAAAAAACCCCAACAAAAUAACAAAUAAUAGUUGGAAUGUUAUAUCAUCCUUUAAGGUUUGUAUAAUGCUUUGCAUACAUUAUCUCAUUUGAUCUUCACAACAGCCCUGUGGGGUAGGUGUUAUUAUAAUCCACAUUUUAUAGAAAAGGAAAUUGAUGUUAGGAGAAAUUAAGUGACUUGGCCAAGAUCACUCUUGAUUUGUCUAGUGAAUGUCUGAGCUAGGAUUUUAAUUCAGGUCUUCCUCUCUCUAGAGUGUAGCAUUCUAUCUACAAUGGUACAUAGACCUCUAAUUUCCUAUACAAGAGCUUAUCAUUCCAGUUUAAUUCCAUAUUUACCAUUACUUGAACACACAUCACUUUUUUUACCAUCACACUAUUGUUCAUUCUUGGUUUUAGAAGAGGACCAGGAACGUCAUAGGAUGAUGGAUAACUUGUAUGUAAAUUGGAUUUAAGGUAGGUAGAGUUGCACAAAGUCAUCAGCCUCACUCUCUCUUCCAUAGUCACCAAAGUUCAGUGACAAAACAAAAAUCAGGACUACUGAUGAUAGCCUCAGAUACUGUGGAUGACCUUGUCAUCUUCAAUGGCUGACUAACUUUGAAUGUCUCUAUAACACCUUCUUUAACUGCCUUCAUGGCCAUUGGAACAAAUUGUUUUCAUCCAUGCAUUCAGCCAGGGGAAGCCUUCACAUGCUUGGAGUCCUUAAGUCACUUUUGGGGUUGAGGCAGAUCAGUUAUCCUCAAUCUUGUUUUAGGGUGGUUUUACCAGAAUGUGGCCACUGUUCAUGAUACAAUUUAUUGGUGAGAGUUGGUGAAAGGUGAACACUAAAGGUGGAUGAGCAGCCCUGAAAAUGGACUCAGCAAGCCCUCACAACAGAGGUACUUGUAACAUUUAAAAUAGUUGUUUGCCAUAAAUUGUGGUGAUUAAAAGAGUUAAAAUAGUGGAAGACCUAAAUUGUGAUAGAUAUAAGAGUGGGUGAGUAAAUUGUGACCGCAGAAAAUAUGUUUCACUACAGUGUCUUGUUUUAAAAUCAAUAUAUAAGGUGGUCUCCAGGGAAAUAUUCCCAAUUAUGAAUAUACCCAAGUCAACUGGGUUUUAUAGAGAUUUUAAUUAAUAAUACAAUGAGGAAUUAAAGAAAAGAGAGAAAGAGAGAAAAAGGAAAUAAGUAUGAAGGGCCUUAAGCCAACAUAGCCUAAACCUGAGUCUUAAGAGAGAGAGAUCAGUCAGUCAGUCUUUUAUCACUCACCAUAAGGUCUGUCUAAGCAAGGAUUCCAGUGACAGAGUCUCCUCAGACAGAGUUCCAGCCAGAGUCCUCCUCAAAGAGCCUUCCAGCCAGAGACUGUUUCAAAGGGCCUCUCUCAAGAGCCUCCAGAGGGACAGAGUCCCCUCAGAAGAGCUCCAGCGAGACCUCCUUAGAGAUUGUCCUCCAAGAGCUUCCCUUCUCUAGAGCCUCUCUCAAAAGAUCUCCAAAAGGAUCCCUUUAAGAGAUUCUGCUUUUUCUUAUGUAGGGGGUUUCCUCCUAUGUCACCUCCCCAAAGUUCUUCCAUCUACCAAUCACAGUAGACGUUUUCCAAGGGACAGCCCAUUCUAAAAACACUGCUGGGUCGACUAAUCCCUUUAGUAAGUUUGAACCAGAAAAAACUUCUGAAUAAGUUUUCACCUCUUUGAUCCUGGCAAGUUUACAAGUUGCCUGAUGUUUAAUAGGUACUUAGCACCCCAUUGUAUUAAUUCUAAAAAUAGGCAUGGCUUAAAGAACUUUUUGCCUCAUUAUAAGUAUGGGUUUAAGUACUUUCAUUGUUUAGCAAGGAGUUUUCUCCCCUAAAGCAGUCUUAAGUAUGGGUGGAGUAGAGGUCCUCCCAUUUCUGAUCCAAGUAGAGUUCUCACCAUCAAAAUGGGGAAUGUUCCCAGUAGGGAAUUGUUCCAAUGGAGAAUUCCCCAAUGUGGAAAUUUUUAACAUUCACAAGUGUGGGGUUUUCCUUAAUGGACUUCCCUGACCAGCAGGGUCCCACAAGGGAAGGGGCUCACCUUUGUGAUGGGACCCGAGGAGAGGUAGGAACCGAGAACCAGGGUGGAAAUGAAAGACACGGACAAGUCAGUGUUUGAAUAGGGCAGGCAAUCCCUAUGAUACUCCCUUUGCUAGGAAAGUAUGAGUACAGAGGUGGAGGAGGAGAUUAAGAUAGGGAAUGCAGGCCGAGAUUGGUUACAGCUUCAGGGAAGGAGAAGGUUAAGAGGAGAGAGACAUAGUCAUUAAGGAGCCCAGUGGAGCUCCAUGAAAGGGGAGAGAAAGCCAAGAGGAAGUUCAUGGGUUUGCCUCUGUAUUUAUUGCCUUCCUCUGAUUAGGGUAGUAUUCUCAAGCACGUAGUAACCACAUCACAAAGUAUAGACAAUUAAGAUUGGGUGGCAAGGUAGAGGGAACACCUUUGGGCGUGUAGAUUGCAAACUGUGCUUUCCCCAGGGAAUUGAGUCUGAGCAUGUUAAUGAGUUUGUCUUAGGCAAGGGCCACAUGAUCAGGUCAAGGUUACAUUCACAAGCCUCAUUGGCAUAACCUUAUGCUUGGAGACACAGUAGCCAUACAGUCAUUUAUAUUUCAUGGAUGUGAAUAUGCUUGGGAUGCUACAACAAGUCUGAGAAAUUUCAAGAUUCACAUACUAGUCCUGCCUCCAUAUCCCAUGCAUCCCACCAGACUAUUAUAUGAACUCAGUGAUUGGCGUCAGAAGCACUGGAUUUCAAAUACUUACUAGUUGUUUGAUUCUGGGCAGAUAAUGUCUCUGAAUCUCGGUUCCAUCAUCUAUAAAAUGAGAAUGACCACAUUUGUACUACCAGCCUGACAGGGUUAUUGUGAGAACACUGCUUUGCAAAAUACUCCCAGCAUCAUAGAAUCUUGGAAUUAAAAGAUUCUUCAGAAGCUAUCUAAUCCAAACUAUAGCCAAAAAAGAAUUCCCUCUGGGAUAUACCAGACAAAAGAUCAGGGAGCCUCUAAUGUGAAGGAAAACACUGCUUCUAAGAGAAUUCCUUUGCCUUUUUCAAACUGUUCCAUUAGGAAGUUUUUUCAUUUUAUCAAAAUUAAAUCUGUCCCUUCCCAGCUUCUAGCUAAGUCUCCUACUUCUACCUUCUGGAUGGAAUCUAAUCCUUUCAAAUAUCCAAUGAUAACUAUUAUGUUGAUCUCCUUACCCUAGAGGUUCAAAGGGGCAUAAAUUUAGGGCUGGAAUGGAUUGUAGAGGCAAUCAAGUCCAACCCCCUCAUUUUACAGAUGAAGAAACUAAGGCAUCAAAACACUAAGUAAUUUAUUUGUUCAGGAUCACAAAGCUAGUUAAGUGUCUGAAAUAGGAUUUCAAUAUACACUUGGUAUCGGAAAGUUAAGCUUUAAAUAACUUAAAGACUUUUGGGACCCUUUGAUAUAUGUAAAUAUUAUAAAUGGACAAUGAAUUUUACCCUGCAUAGUACAGAAGGGGGAAAAAAAUGAACUGGAUUGACUUUGGGAAAUUGCCAAGUUCUUUUAAUGACUCUAAACUUCUCCUGGCAAUAAAAGACCAUCUUUUCAAUACUCAAUUUCUCCUGAUGUUGUUGGAUGACUGUGAGUCAUGAAACACAACAGCCUCCAAAGAACUGACAAUGAUUAUCACCUAGAGGACAAUGGAGAAGCACAUGGUGGGUGUGAGUAGGCUGUAACACAUGACAAACAAGGAAUUACACAGUUGAAACAGAGUAAAGCAUGUCACCAAAGAAGUAUAUAAGUAAAAAAGAAGAUAGGCUGGUUAUGUGAUAAGAAUGGUGGAUGAUAAUCCAUGGAUAACUUGGGUGCCCAAACUGGUAUCCUUAUGAUGGCAAGAAAAAUUGAAGGGGGCAUCUGGUUGUCUCAGUGGAUUGAGAGCCAGACCUAGAGAUGGGAGGUCCUGGGUUCAUAUCUGACCUGGGAUACUUCCUAGCUGUGUGACCCUGGGCAAGUCACCUGACCCCCAUUGCCUAGCCCUAAUCACUCUUCUGCCUUGGAACCAAAACAUAGUAUUGAUUCUAAUGCAGAAGGUAAGGGUUUAAGAAAAAAAAAUUGAAGAAGGCCUCCAAAACAUUAGGUGGAUCCUCUUUGUAAAAUAUAUGGGAGGAAUAGGACAAGAAUUGCACAGAGUUGCCAGGCAUGAAUGGUUAUGAUCUUUAUUAUUGGGGGAGAUAUUCCAUUGUCAGAAGGAAUAUACAGGGACACUAUAUAUUAAUAUCUACACUGAUACAAAUCCCACUGUAGAUGCAACUAACUAUGUGAUCUUCAGUGAGUAAGUCACUUAACUGAUGAGAUUAUAGCUAUAAUUGAAUAUUUGGAUAUAGAUAAGAAAUUGAGGCACAUUGAUUACUUAGUGGUGAGAAGUGUCUGAGAUAACUAAUGCUUCCCAUGCCUCAGGUAUUUAGUGUUGCUGCUUGGGCUGGGGGCCUAAUGAAGCUAAAUGAGAUUUAGUACUUAUUGGGGCAAAUUCCAUAUAGAUUCCUUUAUCCCAUCACUGUACCCUACUUGUACUCAUAAGAUAUCUAAACAAGUGAUGUUUAAGUACUGGGCCAAAGCUAAAGCACUGUGUUCUCACAAUUUUCUUUCUCACUGUUUUUCUUUCCAGGCAAGAAAAAAUUGGAAUUUGCAUGUGUUCACACAUAGCAUGGGAGUAUCAUUGUGUGGUUCAAAGGGAGGCAGAAUAGGUAUCUCUGCCUUCUUCUCCCUGAAGUUUCUUCAAAGGUGACCUUAAUUCAUGCCAGGAAGGGAAGCAGGAAGUUGGAGCCAAAGGCUGCCAUCUUGCUCACCCUGGGGAGAGAAAGAGAAUACCAGGCUAGAAUCAUAUGUAUCUGCUCCCUUAGUAUUGUUAUUCUAGGGGAUGUGUUUGGUGUUUUUAGGAUCAAUCUAACUUCUAAUGGUUUUUUAAUUAUUAGAGAAAUCUAAUAGGAGGAUCCAAGCUUUAUAUCGAAGAUUUGACCCCUUUCCCACCCAAUUACCAGUAGAAAUUGACAUACACAACACUUAGUCAAGAAAGGCAUUUAUCCAACUCAAUAACAAAAAAGAAGAUGGAGAAAGCUUACAUAUAAGAAUAAUAAGACCACACAGGAUGAAGGAGCUCUCCUUUUAGAAGAGAGGUAGCUCAGAUCAAUCAGGAAAAAGAGCCUAGAUCCCACACGAUGGAAAGUUUGCUAAAGUUUCCAGUGUAGCAAGCUGGGAGUAGAAACAUGACAGAGGCAACCAGCUCCUCUCAAGCUAGCUUCUUUCCAGUCUUUUCCUUCAGGACCCCAAAAUGGGGUCAACAUUUUCCAUCUUCUCUCUUGAAGAUAUGUCAGAAACAGCUGAAAUGCAAAAAGACUCAGUGACACCCCCCAAAACUCUAAUGAACUCUCCUUUCUUACACUCUAUUUUCAUCAACUCUAUCCUGCUCUUCAUCAGAAGCAGGACACUGACUUCCAUCAAUGAGAAGAACCCCAAACCAAUGGGCUUUGUUAGAAAUAAAGAAAUCUCUGGGCCAUAAUUCUGAGCUGAAGAUCCAAAUUUUAAUUGUGGAAAAUGAAAGCUGGAGCUCUUACCCCACCCAGUUUGUGAUAAGACUCCAAAUAGAUGUUCUACAAUAUGUUUUAUAGGUUUUUGACAGCUAAUUAGCAUUAGUUAUUAACAGAAGAUAUAAGAACUGUGCAAUGGUGAAAGGGUUUGAAACAUUUGCUACAAAAUCCCCGAAAUUCAGUACAAGAUUAAUUAUCCUACUACUUAGGUGAGAGUAACCUUUCUUGGCCACCAUAUUCUGGGGAACCUAUAGUGGCAUGUCUUUAAAGGGUCAAACACCCAAAGAAAACAAGAUUGUUUUAAUACUAUCUUAUCAGGCCAACCAUCGUAUACUCUCUGCUCUCAAUGAACCCAACUCCUUUUGCAUGGGUUUUAGCUUCCCUAGUUAACUACACAAACCUAAAGUUUUUAUUUCUCCAGAGGAAGCUCUUAACCUAUUUAGUUUCUAUAAUAUUUUAAUAUACAAAAUUAUAUCUUGUCUAAUACUGUGGUUAAUAUUCUAUUAUUACAAUUUAAUUAGAUAAUACAAUAUAUUGAUAUUUUAUAAACAGUUCAUUUACUAAUUCUUUCAAACUAAACUUUCUAGCUCUUCCUAGAAUGUAAAAUUUCAGUUACUUAUCUGAAGGAUUAUAUGUGAUCGCUCUGUUCAUAAUCAACAAAAUAAAGGCAAAAGAACAAUUGUCAUUUCAACUUUGGGACUGGGUUUACAUUUGUUAUGGGUAUAUAUAUGCUUGCAAUUUUUCAUUGGAGCAUUGAAACAAAUAUACGAAAGAGGGGAAAAUGGCAAAAUAAAUGUUAGAGGGUGACCAGGAAAAGGCUCAGUGAAGGGAGAAGGGUAAAAGGAAGGGGUUGCAGAAACAAAGGACCAGAGUGCAUCCUCUCAGAAUGAGAUCCACUAAGAGGAGUUCUCUACACAUAAUCAUAAAAAUGCCAUGUAGAACAAGCUAAAUAUAUCCUCUUCUCCAGGUUAAACAUCCCCAUUUGGUGUAACUGAUAUUCAUACGGUAAGGAUUCCCAAUCAUUGGUAAAAGGGAAUCCAGGGGAAUAUCUGGUAAAUAACAAUAUCGUACUGUCAUAUCCUAUUUCUUUUCCUAACUAUGCUUCUAAUUCUCCAAACUUUGCUGUGGUACUUGUGGUAGAGGACUGGGGAGAGAGAGAACUUGUAAACCAAGAUGCAAGAAACUGGGGACCUAAACUUCUUGUUCAAUGACUGCUGUUCUCUGGCUUAUGACUAGAGAGCGAGCUACUAAGGGAACCUGAUGCUGCUUAUUUGUAAUGGAGGUAGGAAUGAGAAAUGCUGAGGGAUGCUGCCACACAGGGAUGCUGGUACACAGGGGAACUGUUACACAAAGGGACUGCUCUGGGGUUUGCCUACUGAUCCCUAUUGAUGGCUGAUGGAUCAGUAUAUCUUUCUAAUUUCCUCCUCCCUUUCACUCCCUCCCUUCUCCAACCCUCUCCUCCCAGGUCUUCUUGAAGCCUUUGGCUUCUUCCCUCCCCCCUUGAAUGAACUAUAAAGAUACUCUUUUCUUUUCCUUUCAAUUCAGGGGGGUUUAUUGGGAUAACAGGAUAGGAAACUGAGGUGAGAGGGAUGAGGAUGUCCCUAAUUUAAAAUGUGGGUUUGAGAAAGUAGUCCAGUCACAAGCUGUGACUCUAAGACAUUUGGGGAGAUGGAGGACAACAGCUUUUCAAAAUCUUCUUUCUUUUUCACAAAAUCAGCAAGGUCUCUCAGCUUAACCCCAGAGAAAAACAAAGUUCAAAGUCUCUCAGUUUCUCCUGGCCAGCUCAACUCUCAAAUAGACCACCAACUCAAAAGCCAAGUUUCUUCUUCUUGUCAACUUCAACUGUCCAAAGCCAGAGAAACCCAAACCAAGUCAGCCCUACUAGGAUCUUUCAGCCAGUUUCCACCUCCAGAGAAAGUGACUCCCAGUCAAGUCCUCUCCCCCUGGUCAGCUCAACUGCCAACUCCUGGGAACAUUCUGUUUUGGAAACUCCUUUUGAUUGACAGGCAGUUUAGGUCCCCAGUUUCUUGCAUCUUGGUUUACAAGUUCUCUCUCUCCCCAGCCCUCUACCAUAUGCUUCAGUUGCCUUUUCACUCUGGAAUUUCUCUUGGUGUCUGUGGCCUUCUCAUGAUAGGACAUCCUUCCACUCCUGUGGCUUCUUUCUCCCAGUGGGGAAUUCCCUUGGGAGCCUCGAUUUUGAUGUCAGCCAUCUUUCAUUACUCUCCUUGCUCUGCUUCUGUCUCUCUAGACCUGGACAUCUGCAGGUUACAUUCCCUCCAAUGCUUUCCCAGCUCCCCUUUAUGUAUUGUCUUCCCUGAUUAGAAUGCAAGCUCCUUAUAGGCAAAGAGUCUCUUCAUUUUGCUUUUAUUUGUAUCCCCAGUACUUAGCCCAAUGUCUAAAGUAUGUGCUUAAUAAAUGCUUGUUGACUCUUCCAAUAUUCCAAAAAUAGUUGUGAAAUAGUUAGUGAAUAGUUAAAUAAUAGUGAAUAAAAUUA